rnacentral:rRNA from 1 species
AUGGGGAAGAAGACUGCAGCGAAGAAACACCGAGGAUUCAUCUUAGAACCAACGCUGCAUCCUUUGGAGGAGUCGCACAUCAGAAAAUGCAUAAGGAACAAUUCAAGGCUGCAAGCACCCGGAAUUUCUGCACUAUCGACAUUGUUUGCAGCCAAAACUGUCAUUUCACCUGAAAAAAAUAAACCCAAGCAUAGUAGUGAUGAUUCUGAAGCUGAGUACCAUCCUAACGAGGACAAUACCAGUGAAGGAGAGUCAUCCGAUGAUAGUUUAGUAGAUGAAACAGAAGCACUGCAGUCCACACCUGCUGCUAGCUCAAACUCUAAUGUGCUAAUUUCCUCCAUCUAG